UCCCGCCCCUCAACUCAUCACUUCCGCUCGCUCGCUCUCCCUUCCUCUCAGCAGCUUCUCUCCCCCAUCUCCUGCCAUCUGAACAUCCCACCGUUCGGUUGCCGUGAAGCAGCCAUGCCAGCGCUUCUCGUGAACACCAUAUCGGUCUCCCCCGCUAGCCCAUGGCUACCCUCCUCGCGGCCCACCACGACACGGCGAGCUAGCAGUCGCCACAGGUGCCGAGCCGAAGCAUCCGGCAGCGGCGGCGGCAGGCCGGCAGCACCAAAGGCGACGGCUACAAGCCGGGGGGCGUCCGCGGGUCGUGGGUCUCCGACUACGACCUCUACGAGCUGCUAGGCGUGGAGCGCUCCUCGCCGCAGUCGGAGAUCAAGGCGGCGUACCGGUCGCUGCAGAAGCGGUGCCACCCGGACGUGGCCGGCGCCGCCGAGGGCCACGACAUGGCCAUCGUCCUCAACGAGGUGUACGCGCUGCUCUCCGACCCGGCCGCGCGCCUCGCCUACGACCAGGAGCAGGCGCGCCGCUCCGAGUUCGCCGGCUACACGGGCCGCCCGCUCUACUCGUCCUGGCUCGGCGCCGAGGCCGAGCGCCGGGCGGUCUUCGUCGACGAGGUGCGCUGCGUCGGCUGCCUCAAGUGCGCGCUCCACGCCUCCAGGACGUUCGCCGUCGAGUCCGUCUAUGGCCGCGCCCGCGUCGUCGCGCAGUGGGCCGACGACGAGGACAAGAUCAUCGACGCCAUCAGCACGUGCCCCGUCGACUGCAUCUCGAUGGUUGAGAGGUCGGACCUGGCGGCUCUCGAGUUCCUCAUGUCCAAGCAGCCGCGCGGCAGAGUCCGUGUCUCCGAAGGCAACGCCGUGGGAGCUCGCGCGCCAAACAUCUUCAACGAGGUCGCCAAGUUCCAGAAAAGAUUCGAGGAGAUGAAGCAGAAAUCUGCAACAAGAGAAUCCCAGGAGUCAGAGACAGUCAAGAAAUCCAGGACUUCAGCCGUGCACACCAUCAGAUCCAUGUCAAACUGGUGGUACUGGCGCCCAUUCGGGUCAUCUGCGCCGGCCACCAUCGUCCUCGCUUCGCGCCUCCUGCCGCCGCCAUCGGCGGCAUCACCUUCUAAAGCCGCUGACCCCGUGGCGGACAGACUCCAAGAAGCUGUCGCCGCCCGGCGCAAAGCGGAAGGCGCGGCGACCGCAGCCGCGGCGCACGCCCACCGCGACGACUACUGGACCCCGCAGCUGAACCUGCCAUCGUCUGCUUCUCCACCGAGCAUUCACCAGAGGGGAAGGGACGCUCCGCAAGGCCACAGCCGCAGGCGACGAGUUGCUGCCGGUGAAGCGACCGCCGGGCCAGCGAGGAAGGGUGCAAGCAUCGACCUGACGGCACCGCUGUUGCUGGGGAUCUUCUCGGCGGGCUUUGUGGGUUACAACGGGGAGGAGAUGGCCGGAAGCGGCAGCGGCGGCAUUCAGGAGCACUUUGGAGGCGCCAUUGCUCUUGGAAUCGUGAACAGCUUCGAAAUGAAGGUCAUGUUGGCCGGGGUGACCUGGUUCAUCAUCGGCGCUGCCAUUGCCGGUGUGAUCCGGGUGCUUGGAAGAAGAGAGGAGGAAAUUUGAAAGUAAAAUGAACGUGCUUGAAACUAAUUCAUCAUAAAUGCGUUCUCACUGUCUCGCAAAUGAUCAACCAUAUGUAGUCAUAACAUAGCUCUCACACGGUUACCCUGCUUGUAAAAUUAUGUCAGAAUAUGAUGGCACAAUACCUGCAUCUUUACUUACACAUCCUUUACUUUAUACUGUUCAAUUCAUCGGUUC